UUAGGAGACUACACGAACUUCCAUCAUUUCACUUGGAAAAAUUUCUGAUAGUUGGGCAAAACUUGGAAAAAGACGAAGAAACUCAGAGAACAAGCAGAAAUAUUGGAUGGCAGCUGUACAUCUACCCUGAUCAUCAUGAAAAUCUGCACUGAGCUGCAUCCUUAUUUCCAAGUGUGGAUAUUGCACAACCUAACAAUGAUUUUCUGAGAGGCUUCACCACCUUUUUUACCAAUCCUGGGUUGGAGAGCCCUUGAGAUAAACAUGAGAGGUGAAGUCACAGAGAGGAGUGCUUGUUGAUGAACACAUUGUUGAAUUCCCCAGCUGUAAUCAGGACACAGUUUCCUCUCCAGAAGUUCACCAACAGCAAGGGUCACCAAGAAGCUGGAGCAUCCCAAAGGAGGAAGCAUCCACUCCUUGGCACUGCAGUGGGUCUCCCUUUCCUGGUGCUCUCCUCAGGAACUACGCUGGUUCCAAGCACCACCUUUGCUGUGUGUCUGUAUUGAGCCAUACACCAUGAGCUGAGAGGAGCCUGGCCAGCACCACACAUGAUCAGAAAUAGAAAUCCUGAGCUCAGCCAGUAGUGAUGGAAGAGUUUUGGCUGGAUGGUGCACAAAAAGCUUUGUGCAGUCACAGGUUGGUGGUGGGAAAGCCUGCCAAAGCAAAAAAAUAAUCCCUCUCAAAAUUGCUCUCAUGGUUAUGCUGGGGAUUUGGUUGCUUUUUGCUGUUUCUUUUUUAUUUCUGGGGAAAAAAAGGAUUGAAGCCUUUCCAGGCUAUUAUUAACAACGAUUAUAACAUAAUAAUUCUAUAUGCAAUUUUAUGCAUAAUUUAAUAUACAGCGUAUUUAAUACAUGCACACUAUUGUUUUAUACAUGCACAAUAUUAUUUUAUACAUGUAUAUUACUAUUUCAUACGUACAUGGAUGUAAUCAUAUCAAAGUGCCCUGUUCAGGAGAUACAUUCCUGGCUUCCAAUCUCCUCAAAAUGAGUUCAACCUGUGUGGCCCUGAGCAGAAUGGCAGACAGGCAUAUUUUUUAUUGCUGAUUCCAACUCUCAUAAAUUCUUAACUUGCUUAGAAUUCGCCAGAUUAAAUGAAAAGUUACUGUAAUUAGGGAUUUAUUAAAACAUGAAUCCUUGACCCAAUAGAAUAUAAUAACUCAUUUGUUUCAAAUAAGGCCUCUUUAAUUGUUCCAUCAUUGGCCUGAGCAGCCCAUGCAGUGCAGAGUCAUGUGUGUUCUCCAAAUCCACUUGCAAAAUGCCCUGUGAAAUCUUUGCUCCCCAGACCACUCUAUAGGUAGAAGCCCCUAAAACAAAAAUAUGUCAUUUUAAUUAAAAAUUCAAGUGCUGAAAGCCCUUACUAUUCUGCACUACAAAGCAAAGUCUGUGAAAAUGCUCUUUCUACACAAAAAGUUCUAUUUUAACUUUUUUGUGAAGAACCUUCCUUCUCUGUGUCUUCAAAACCAAUAGUUAUUGAUUUACAGUCUUAUAAAACAGGACUGUAAAAUCUUGUACCCUGGAACUAUAAAUAGAUAUUUUUUAAAGAUAUGAAAAUUGCUCCCAAAUCAGGUCUAUAUUAGGCACUAACCAGCAGAGAGCCAUUUUGCAGGGGAAUAUAAACUGCACAAAAUAAUUCCCAUUGAAAAUGCAAAGAAAUCUGAGACUGCACACAAACAAUGCAGCCAGAAUUAAGGAAUUACCCAUUCCUCCUCCCCAUCUUUGAAAUAAGCCUCCUCUUUUUAUUUAAUUGGUUGGCUGUAGAAAGCAUAUUGCUAUAUUUGGGUCCUGUUUCCCUGUAUAAGAACAGUCCUACAAGGAAUUCCCAGUAAAACAGCGUGGCAGUUCUGCUGUAUAUUAAAAAAAAAUACCAUUGGAAAGUGUUAUCCAAUGGGCAGAUGUUAACUUAAAGUGCACAUUGUUUGGAAAAGGAGUUAAU